UUCUUACAGUCCUGUGAAUGAAACAUUGUGACCUCAAGUUUACAGAUGAAGACAAUAAACUUCAGAGAGUUCAAGUAUAUCACUCAAGUGUAAUGAGGUUCUGAGUAGGAUAGCAAUAGAAAAGUCUAUGCUCAUUUUCUUUCAGCUCUCAAUCCAAAUCCCCUUCCUGUUUUCAGCAGGAUUAUUUGUGCCCAUGAGGGAAACACGAAGGAUUGUCAGUAUUCAUUUGCUAUCAGAACUGCCUUUGAACUUCAGGGAAGCCGCCAUCUUGUUUUAGUUCACUCCUCUAAAGCACAGUGUCUGCAACAUGAAACACUAGGUAAGACACAGUUAUCCAGAAAGAGCCCUAGAGAUGGAUAAGGAACCUGUUGGAAUGCUCUGAUAUUAAGAAAAAAAAAAUUAAAUUCAAAACCAAAAACAAGUCACAAGGGAUUUGAACAUAGACAAUUUAGAUUUAACAUCUGUGCCCUUAACCAACAGAAUCUAGCACAUGCUGGGCCCAUUAAGGCCCCUUAAAGAGCUUUCAGAAGACAACCUGGUACGAUGGCCCUGCCUUGUGUCACUAUUUUAUUCGGCAGUUCCAGCCUGGUUCUGUCACAUUGUCUCAUCACAAAAUUGGAUUGCACAGAACUCAAAUGGAGAGGACGUUCAAACUCAGGAAUGUGGAGCACUCAUCAUCUGCUGUGGUCAAAGAGACAAUCUGUGAAGAAAGUGAACAAGGCAGAUGGAGAUAAAUUCAAAAACAGAGAUCCGAAAGGCUGCUAAGAGAGAAAGGAACAGGAAUCUCCCAGUUCCUGAGAGCCUCCCAGGCUUUCUCCCUCGAUGUUUGGGAGUUUUAUGCCUAUGUAAUCAGUGCAGACAGCCGUUAAGUAAAUGAAGAGGCAACUAACAAUGUCAGAAAAGAGACCGGGCGGUUCCGGCUGACACUACCCUAAUCUUCCAGGACCCAUUAAAUGGUAGUUUCAACGCAUUACCUACCAUAACAUCCUUGAAUAUCACUGAUUUUAUUUGCAGUAUCAAACAUUCCAUUUCAUGCCCCAUUAACAGUGGGAGCCUGGGCUUUUUGACGCAGCUAAACAUUUUACUAACUACCUGGACUAAGUAACCAAUUAACUUUUGGAGACAAUACGGCCAAUUAAGCGCGAAAAGCAGAAAUAUCAGUGUCCGACAAGAUAUUGCCCUGGUUUUCACUGGCUUGGACUCUUCAGAGAGAAAAACAAAUCCAUGUAUAGAGAGGAAAAUUUGGAAAACAGGCUUUUCCUAUCCGGAUGAACAGAGAUAAUUUGUGUCGAUGGAUGUUCUGUGAAGGCCUAUUGUGUCGAGCAGCGUAUUAAAACAUAAACAUGGCUCUUCCCCCAAGAAACUUACAUUUCAGUAAGGGGAGCCUGGCCAAAAUGGAAAACUGCAAGGUUCAAAUCCUGGAGUGCAGAAGAAGCAUUAGGCAUUGACCCUGUGGCUUCCUAAUAGAUCCGCAAAGUGCUUUGUUCCUGGAAAUCAUCCGAUGAGUAGUUCAGUGCUAUUGUAUAUCUUGUUAGAGCAGCCGAAGUGCCACAAAAUGAACUAAAAUCUCCCUGCAGAGUUGCUGUAUCAUAUGCUGAGAACAUUCGGAACUUUCAACAAAUUCAUGUUACGAUCCUGGGUAGCCAUGGUUAAAUCUGUACAGGGGUUAAAUGAGAAAUAUGAGCCUGCUGUUAAGUGUCUUCUGAGAGUGACAAAGCUCUGGCCAUAAGGGAUGGGAGAGGAGGGAUUUCUUCUCAGCCUUCCAGCCCUUUCCAGCUGUAUCACAGACAGGAGACAUAAUGCAAAGGGGCUCAGACAUUGACUUCCUGGAUCUUUGCGGCCCCAGGCAUUGACCCCCUCUACCUGGCUUUUCCUACGCUGUAAAAUGAGGAUCCUCCUAUAUUAUGGAGUUUAUUGUGACAACUAAAUAGCUGAGAAGAAGGACAUCUCAUUUGUUUUAACUAUGCAGUUUCCUGUCUAUCUAUCUAUCUAUCCCAUCAAUCUAUCAAUCAAUCUAUCAAUCUGUCUAUCCCUAUCUAUCUAUCCAUCUAUCUAUCUAUAUCUGUCUAUAUCUAUCUAACAUUUAUCUAUCAUCUAUUCAUCUAUCAGCUAUCUUCUGUCUAUCAAUAUUUCAAUCAAUCUCUCUAUCCCUAUCAAUUAAUCUAUCUACCUACCUAUCAACUAUCCAUCUAUCUCUAUCAUCUAUCAUCUAUUCAUCUAUCAUUUAUCAUCUGUCAAUCCAUCUUCCUACUAUCUAUCAAAAGCAACACAUUUUCUUCCUGACUUUAAAAAUAUUUAAGUGGGCCGGGAGGAUGGCUCACGCCUGUAAUCCCAGCACUUUGGGAGGCCUAGGCGGGCGGAUCACGAGGUCAGGAGAUGGAGACCAUCCUGGCUAACAUGGUGAAACCCCGUCUCUACUAAAAAUACAAAAAAAAAAAAAAAUUAACCAGGCGUGGUGGAGGGCGCCUGUAGUCCCAGCUACUCGGGAGACUGAGGCAGGAGAAUGGGGAGAACCCGGGAGGCGGAGCUUGCAGUGAGCCGAGAUCAUGCCACUGCACUCCAGCCUGGGCGACAGAGCAAGACUCCAUCUCAAAAGAAACAAAAACAAAAACGUAAGUGAUACUCUGUCCACUCUUUUGAUUGAGGAGGUCUGAUUUUCAGGCUUUGGAUUUUAUUAUGUCUUCAAUAUAAUAAUUGUUCCAUGUAUCUCUCCUAAAUUGCCAUUUGAAAAACUGCUUUUCUGAAGUUUAAAGUGCACAUUUUGAUACAUCUUGACACAUAUAUACACCCAUGAAAUCAUCACCACAAUCAGGAUAGUAGAUCUAUCCAUUACCGCCAAGGUUUACUUGCACUCCUUUGAACUUUCUCCCCACUCCUCACCCCCUGCCUAUCCCCAAUCCUUAAGCAAUCACUGAUUUGCUUUCUGUCACUAUCAGUUAAUUUGAAUUUUUCAGAAAUGUAUAUAAAUAAAAUCAUUCGACGUGUAUGCUCUUUUUCUGUUCACCCGGUACAAUUUGAGAUUUAGCCAUGUUUUUGCAUGUGUCAAUAGUUUAUUUUUUUGUUGCUCAGUACUAAUCCAUUUUAUGGAUACAGAGAAAUGUAUUAAUGCAAUCCCAUAUUAAUAGGCAUUUGGGUUGUUUCCAGGUUUGGGCUGUUACAAAUAAAGCUGCUAUGAACAAUACUCACAGACAUAUUGUAUGGUCAGUUUCCCCACCUUCUCCCUGUCUCACCUCAUUUCAG
rnacentral:lncRNA from 10 species